rnacentral:rRNA from 1 species
AUGCCCUGGCUGGCACAUACUCUAGAUGUAUCAGUUGGUUCAGUUGCUAAACGAAAGCGCUCGCAAGUGGAUGUUUCUCAAACUGGCAAAAGAUUAGGAUAUUCAGGCUCAAGCCUUUCGGAGGAUAUCUGGCGUCAUAUAUGCUCCUUUUUGCCACUGAAAGAUGCUGCGCGUGCUGCGAGCGUGUCUCACUCCUUUAAACGUUUCUGGAGGUGCCAGCCCAACCUCACCUUCAGUAAGAAAACAAUGGGCUACAAGAAAAAUGCACGUAGACGGAGAAUAACAACAAGAGAUUACAACAGCAGAGUUGACCAUAUUUUGAGAAACCACUUAGGCACUGGUGUGAAGACACUCAGGCUUAAAUUAUAUGGUCUUUACAAUGCCGACACCAGAAAUUGUCUUGAUAGUUGGCUCCAGAUUGCUGUUACACCAGGCAUAGAAGAACUCAGCCUCAUAUUUUCAAAUAUUGACCAUUCAUCAAACGAAGCAAUCUACGAGUUUCCAUGCUCACUUUUAUCUAAUGGCAGUGGAAACACCAUUCGUGAGCUAGACCUUUUAGGUUGCGCCUUCCGCCCCACGGUAGGAAUCGGUUGCACGGGAAGCCUGACGAGUCUAUGUCUGUCUUGUGUGAAUAUUGAGAGUGAUGAGUUGGGGUUCCUUCUUUCCAAUUCUCUGGCUUUGGAGCGAUUGGAACUCAAGGAUUGCAGUGAGAUAUUUUCUAUAAAGAUACCUUCCCUGCUGCAGCGCCUCAGCUACCUGAUGGUGUCCGGUUGUUCCAUGCUGCAAGUGAUUGAAAGCGAGGCUCCAAAUAUCUCCACUUUUCACUUUUUUCAUGAUGAUGAUGUUUUUUAUGAUGACGAUGUUGAUUGA